UACGGAAGGGGCAAGCGUUGUUCGGAAUCAUUGGGCGUAAAGGGCGCGUAGGUGGUUCUGUAUGUCUACCGUGAAAGCAUACAGCUCAACUGUAUUUUGUCGGUAGAAACUGCAGGACUUGAGGCUGGGGGGGGCUGGUGGAAUUCCCUGUGUAGCGGUGAAAUGCGUAGAGAUGGGGGAGAACACUCGUGGCGAAGGCGGCCAGCUGGACCAGUUCUGACACUGAGGCGCGACAGCGUGGGGAGCAAACAGG
rnacentral:rRNA from 1 species